UGGCGCACCCCGCUGGGCUGAAGCCUUUGGCCCCGUAGAGCUGCCGGAGCUCGGAGCAGCUCCUCGCCUUGUUGGGCGCCUCGCCGCCCCCUCCGCCGGUGCGCGCCGAAGAGGCCGAAGCGGCGACGCAGAGCAGCCACCACCCGCCCGGGAGGAACCCCAUCCUCCUGCUCCUGCCCCGAGAGAAAGAGCGAGGAGAGCCCCGAGGAGCCCUUCUUCUCCCCUCCGCCUGCGCUCCUCCUGAGGCGGCCGCUUCGGGGAUGAGGAGGAGAGGCGGUGCCCGGGUCCCGGCUUCUUCGCUGCCUUGCCUUGCUUUCCCUUCCGAGCGGCGAACAAUACAAUCCCGGAACAAUACAGGGAGCCUUUCCUCCAGUCUCUCUCUCAAAAAGCUGAGGAGGGAGAGAGACCUCACUUUUGUUCUCUUCGGAACAAUGGCACGAGCGGGCGGAGACUCGAGAUGACUUCUCUCAGGUGGAGGCUGGAGAUGAAUGGGGACCCCGCGGGCAAACUUUGGGCGAGGGAAGAGGAGCAGCUGGGACCGGAGCCUCCUCAGGGCUGGAGAUGGACAGGUCCGAGCGGGACAGAAGGAAGGAGAGAAGGGAAGAGCGAAGAGGCGCGCCACCUGCACAGCAGCAGCAGCAGCAGCAGCAGCAGCGAGGCAGGCACCGAAAGAGCAGGACGCGCCACAGCGAGGCAGGGCUUCCCCGCCGGACGUGGCAUCACGCCCCCAGCCCACCAAUCAGCGGAGAAGUGAAAAUUCAUCACCCCAUUGAUUCACAUGAUCCCAACAGCAUUUUCCAGCAUUCUCCUUCAAUGUUGAUCUUUUAAAACUAUUGUUCCAAGUGAAGGAAUAGAAGCCCUGAACCAGGGAGAACCUGCACAGAAUUGCUUCUUCCUAAAGUCUUCUGGGUUACAAGAAAUCAAGUACAUUUAUACAUUUUUCAAAAUUGUCUACUCUAGACCAUGAAAGUGAAUGCCAGAAUAAAUGAGUUGAUCUUCCAUAUACCACACAAAGGCCUAAUAGAUCAACAUGGCUAACCCACUGGAAAAUUAUUUUAUUUGCUCAUAUCAUCCUGCUUUGCUUUUCGUUUUAAUUAAACUUUAAAAAAUGAACGUUGUCACUAAAGUCCUAACCCUGUUAUCUCAUCACUGAAAUAAUAAAACUGAAGUAAAGUUAUGUUACCAAGAACCAAGAUCUAGUCAACAUUUUAAUCUUCCAGGCAGGAAUUGCCAAGAUUGUACAUGACCCAUUGUUGGGAUAGGGAGGUGAAUUUUGGUAUACAUGUGUGUAUUGAGAAAGGUGGGCAAUACCUCACUUCUCAUUGUAUUUAUUCCUAUUGAGAAAAAGGGUCCUCAAAAGCUGAGGGCCAGUUCUUGGUCCCAUAUACUAUGUGGGGAUAGACUAUAGUUUGAAAAAAAAUGAACAAAUUCCUAUGCACACUGCACAUAUCUUAUUUGUAGUGUAAAAAACCAUGAAAGAAAGAUAAGGUAAAGGUAAAGGUUUUCCCCUGAUACUAAGCCAAGUCAUGUCCAACUCUGCGGGUUGGUGCUCAUCUCCAUUUCUAAGCUGAAGGGCCAGUGUUGUCCGUAGACACCUUCAGGGUCAUGUGGCCGGCAUGACUGCAUGGCACACCGUUACCUUCCAGCCAGACCAGUACCUAUUGAUCUACUUACAUUUGCAUGUUUUUGAACUGCUAGGUUGUCAGAAGCUGGGGCUAACAGUGGGAGCUCACCCCACUCCCCAAAUUUGAACUGUUGACCUUUCAGUUGGCAAGUUAAGCAGCUCAGCGGUUUAACCUGCUGCGCCAUCAGGAACAAUACAAAAUUUAAAACAAAGAACAAUUUUAACCAACACAAACUUACCACAUUGAGAAGUGUGGGCCUGCUUUUGGGUGAUGAGAUAGUCAAGUUAAUUAGGAUUGUUGUUAUGUGCCUUUGUUUCAGACUUAGGGUGAAUCUAAGUCUAAAGUUUAAGGCGGUGGCUGAGUAAAUGAUCUUGGAAGGCCACAUUUGGCCCAUAGGUUUUAAUUUUAGUUUGGAGACCCCUGGUUUAGAAUAAAAGGCUCAGUUAUGUAUUUUGUUAUCUGCAGCAAAAGUUCCUAAGCUCACUUUAGUCUUAGAAUCAUAGAACUGUAGAGUUGGAGUCCAAACUCCUGUUAAUAAGAAUACAAUGUUCCCUCACUUAUCGCGGGGGUUACGUUCCAGGACCACCUGCGAAAAGCGAAAAUCCAUGAAGUAGGGAUGUUAUAUUUAUUUUAAUAUUUAUAGAUUAUUUUAGUAGUUAUACACUAUUUUAAGUCUUUUUCAAAUCGCCUCUUUCUUCUCCCAUUGCCGUUUGGGCUCCUUUUCUCUCCCUUUGGCUUCUCCUUUCUCCCUUUCUUAGCCUGUAAAUUGUAAUUUUUUUAUGAUUUAUAAUAUUCUUUUAGAGUUUAUUGAAAAACCACGAAACAGCGAAUCUGUGGAAAGCGAACUGCGAAGUAGUGAGGGAACACUGUAGACAACUAAGCCCCUUCCACACAGCUGUAUAAAAUCCCACAUAGAAUCAUAGAAUCACAGAGUUCGAAGAGACCUCAAUGGCCAUCCAGUCCAACCC
rnacentral:lncRNA from 1 species